CCCGUAGCUUCCCACAUAAGCUAAUUGGAUUCUCUUCCUUCUCCUACACGUUGGCUUCCUCAACAAGCCUUGGACUCUUCUUCCUUCUCUUACACGCCGGUUCCAUGGGACAAGAAAAACAAAAAACAAAUUCCUCUUCUUCUCUUACACCCAUUGACAGCCUCCAGAGCAAGUGAUUUCUCUUCUCCAUUCGCCGUCGGUUCUAGGGCACACAAGGAGAACUUCUCAAGUCUUCCAUCACACGAAGAACCCUUCGGGUUCCCCUCUCCCAGCCACGCGAUACCUCUCGGUUCCUCGAGCCGAUUCUUCCAUUUCGUAAGCCUAAGAUUUUCCACCAAAAAUCUUCAAAAGAUCAUCAACCUCCUUUGAGAUUUCGAACUUCUCUUCAUUUCUUGUUGUUGUGUACUUCCGUGGCUGCAAAAGAGACCCAAACAGAAGUUUAUUUUCAAGAUUCAAGGAACUUACUUGUAAAGCCACGAGGUAUGAAUGAUGGGACUGUGGAGCUGGGCACUGCUGAGGAGGGAAGGGCUGAUGCUUAGUAUUCCCUGUCGGUUCGGUUUAAUGAUGAUGAUUAUAUUUUAUGUUUUAUGAUGGGUCCCAUGUUGGGAAGUUUUAAAACACCAGUCAUGAUAGAAGAUACUUUAUCUUUUAUAGAAUUUAUGCAAACGCUGAACAAACAUUUGA